AAGUGACGAAAAUAGUCGUUUUCGCUUAAAUUGGAAAAGUGAGCGUUUUAGCCAAAAUUUGACAAAAUCGAUUAGCGGAAUUUAAAUAAUAAGUGGGCGGAAGAGUAUUAUUUAUUUGGACAUAAAUAAUACGAAAAUUUAUCGAGAUUUAACGAUUGAGUGAUUUUUGGGCUAAAUUGGACGAAAGAAAUGUUAGGAAUCAAAGCGAAUGGAGGUGGCAAUCUUAAGGACUAAAGAGAGCACUUUGCCAAGCUUUAUAAGCCCAUUAGCUUAUGAAUAUUAAGCCUUCAAGAACUGAUUUCCAGCAAAGAGAAAGAAGAUGAACCCAUCAUCUUCUUCAAAGUUCUCAAAAUUUCUAAGGCUUGGGGUUUAUUCGUUUGACAUCGGAUUCACGUGAUUUUCGCGGCGUCGGAACGAGGAGAAGAUUAUCUACUGAUCUAACCUAUCAAUUAAAGAUUCUUCGUUAGACAUCGGAAUUGAGUGAUUUUCGCGGCGACGGAAAGAGGGGAGGAAGACCUACUGAUAUACAGCUUCAAUUCAAGACGCAUCGACGCAGCACGUAAUCGUCGGAGUUAGCUUAACGGGGUUCGGCUAUCAUUUUAAUGUCGUGCUUAUUGGAUGGCGAAUUUUUGUUUCCUUUCAGGUUUGUUAUAUGGCGAUGUGGUCGAGCUUCCAUCCAUUGUUCUGGAAGUCUCAGUUGUGAAAGUUUCUACUUUUCUUAGAGCUGCAGUAGUUAUGGUAGUAGACUUAGUCGAUAGUAGACAGUUUAUGUUUUUCAUGUGCUCUGGCAUAAAGAUGUAUUUUUUGGAAAAUGGUUUAUCCAACAAUUUUGUAUAUGAUUACAUGGUAUUUUAAAUAGGGUGGUUUGUGUUUUUAACAGGUGCCAGUAGCACAGUUUUCAAACGUUAUAUUGCCGAUUUUCAAAAAUGUAUAAUUGUUAUUUUGCGAAAAAAUUUAUAGUGAAUUUCAGGCUUGCUACGGGAUUCGGAACUACAAUUCCCAUUCCCUAGCGCCGGU